CAGCCAUUGCUCCCUUGCGCCUGUCACGUCAAGUCGCCCAUUGCUUAUUAUCCCAGAGAGGAAUAUGAAGAGUUCUUUUCACAUUGUGUAGUGUACACAAGUCAGUCGCUGGUUGUUGUGUCUGUAUCUGAAGCCAUGCAAGAGGACUUGCCUACUGCCUUUCUGCCACGUGAAUACUGUCUUUUCCAACAUGAUGACUUAUGCUGAAUGUGAC